ensembl:rRNA 5S_rRNA 5S ribosomal RNA
GUGUGCAGCCACACCACCCUGAACAUGCCCGAUCUCAUCUGAUCUUGGAAGCUAAACAGGGUCGGGCCUGGUCAGUACUUGGAUGGGAGAACAGAAGGGGGGCCAGGCGGGGGCCCUGG